rnacentral:SRP_RNA from 1 species
CGUCACCUCCCGUGCGGCGGUACCUCGUGAACCUCCCCAGGGCCGGAAGGCAGCAAGGAUAAGCGAGCUC